UACGAAGGGGGCUAGCGUUGUUCGGAAUUACUGGGCGUAAAGGGCGAGUAGGUGGCCAUCUAAGUCAGACGUGAAAUCCCCCGGCUUAACCUGGGAACUGCGUCUGAUACUGGACGGCUUGAGUAUGGGAGAGGAACGUAGAAUUCCAGGUGUAGCGGUGAAAUGCGUAGAUAUCUGGAGGAAUACCGGUGGCGAAGGCGGCGUUCUGGACCAUUACUGACACUGAAUCGCGAAAGCUAGGGGAGCAAACGGG
rnacentral:rRNA from 1 species